rnacentral:rRNA from 1 species
AGAGUUUGAUCCUGGCUCAGAACGAACGCUGGCGGCGUGGAUAAGACAUGCAAGUCGAACGGGAUUACUUUUGUAGCAAUACAGAAGUAAUUCAGUGGCGAACGGGUGCGUAACACGUGGGCAAUCUGCCGAAAAGUGGGGGAUAGCUCGCCGAAAGGCGAAUUAAUACCGCAUGUGGUGAGGGACGACAUCUUCCUGAAUCCAAAGCCGGGGCAACCUGGCGCUUUCUGAGGAGCCCGCGGCCUAUCAGCUAGUUGGUGAGGUAACGGCUCACCAAGGCUAUGACGGGUAGCUGGUCUGAGAGGACGACCAGUCACACUGGAACUGAGACACGGUCCAGACACCUACGGGUGGCAGCAGUCGAGAAUUUUUCUCAAUGGGGGAAACCCUGAAGGAGCGACGCCGCGUGGAGGAUGAAGGCUUUCGGGUUGUAAACUCCUGUCAUUUGGGAACAAGGUGCACACGUUAACUGCGUGGGUAUUGAUAGUACCAGAAGAGGAAGGGACGGCUAACUCUGUGCCAGCAGCCGCGGUAAUACAGAGGUCCCAAGCGUUGUUCGGAUUCAUUGGGCGUAAAGGGUGCGUAGGUGGCGCCGUAAGUCGGGUGUGAAAUUUCGGAGCUUAACUCCGAAACUGCAUUCGAUACUGCGGUGCUUGAGGACUGGAGAGGAGACUGGAAUUCAUGGUGUAGCAGUGAAAUGCGUAGAGAUCAUGAGAAGACCAGUGGCGAAAGCGGGUCUCUGGACAGUUCCUGACACUGAGCACGAAAGCCAGGGAGCAAACGGGAUUAGAUACCCCGGUAGUCC